GAAAGGCUUUUGACACCAUGCAAUCCAGGCUGCAGAUCCGUUUCUCUGCGGUGGUCUGGAUCCUGUCCCCACUCUGUGGGCAGCCUUGGGUCUCAGGCUGACUUCCCUCAUCGUCACAACUUGGCUGCCAGCAGCUGGCACGGCUACAGGCACCCUUGUUCACAGCCAGGGAAGUGAGAGCUCUGCCCCGCCCAGUUGAGACUUGGGUGCCUGCUCUCCUAGAGGCUCGCCUUUCCGUGAAUUUCUCACCCAACUUUACGCCAAGAAAACUCCCUCCUACAUGGUUCUGCUGCUGCUGCUGCUAAGUCGCUUCAGUCGUCUCCGACUCUGUGGGACCCCAUAGACAGCAGCCCACCAGGCUCCCCCGUCCCUGGGAUUCUCCAGGCAAGAACACCGGAGUGGGUUGCCAUUUCCUUCUCCAAUGCGUGAAAGUGAAAGUGAAGUCGCUCAGUCGUGUCCAACUCUUCGAGACCCCAUGGACUGCAGCCUACCAGGCUCCUCUGUCCAUGGGAUUUUCCAGGAUGGCUCUGAGAUGGGAGCAGAUCACGGGCCUCUUUCUCAUGGCAGAAGCUGUGAGAGCUCAGAAAGGUUGGGGGCCGUCUUCUCUGCUGUGCGGAGGGUGGGCCGGCAGGUCAAAAGACAGAAAAACAGCGACGACAGCUUUCAACACCCUGGGUCCGGAGGUCACAGAGCCCCUGCUCUCCCCCGGCGCUGCACAGGCGUCCGCCACGCCUACAGCGGCGGCCCUAGGAACAGCGACCGCCCGGCUCAGAGGAGAGCGUGAUGCUGUCCUGGACGGUCUCAGAGCCUGGGACGUGUCGGACUUAGUCCCGGGAGCCGCAGCCACAGUGACGCAGUGGGUGUGGGGGCGGAGAGAGCCAAACUUUGCUGUCCGUUUCUCUUGUAG
ensembl:lncRNA